UUAAGCGACUAAGCGUACACGGUGGAUGCCCUGGCAGUCAGAGGCGAUGAAGGACGUGCUAAUCUGCGAAAAGCGUCGGUAAGGUGAUAUGAACCGUUAUAGCCGGCGAUGUCCGAAUGGGGAAACCCAGUGCAAUUCGUUGCACUAUCGUUUGAUGAAUACAUAGUCAAACGAGGCGAACCGGGGGAACUGAAACAUCUAAGUACCCCGAGGAAAAGAAAUCAACCGAGAUUCCCCCAGUAGCGGCGAGCGAACGGGGAGCAGCCCGGAGUCUGAAUCAGCUUGUGUGUUAGUGGAAGCGUCUGGAAAGUCGCAGGGUACAGGGUGAUACUCCCGUACACUAAAGCACACAGGCUGUGAACUCGAAGAGUAGGGCGGGACACGUGGUAUCCUGUCUGAAUAUGGGGGGACCAUCCUCCAAGGCUAAAUACUCCUGACUGACCGAUAGUGAACCAGUACCGUGAGGGAAAGGCGAAAAGAACCCCGGCGAGGGGAGUGAAAAAGAACCUGAAACCGUGUACGUACAAGCAGUAGGAGCCUCUUUAUGGGGUGACUGCGUACCUUUUGUAUAAUGGGUCAGCGACUUAUAUUCUGUAGCAAGGUUAACCGUAUAGGGGAGCCGCAGGGAAACCGAGUCUUAACUGGGCGUUAAGUUGCAGGGUAUAGACCCGAAACCCGGUGAUCUAGCCAUGGGCAGGUUGAAGGUUGGGUAACACUAACUGGAGGACCGAACCGACUAAUGUUGAAAAAUUAGCGGAUGACUUGUGGCUGGGGGUGAAAGGCCAAUCAAACCGGGAGAUAGCUGGUUCUCCCCGAAAGCUAUUUAGGUAGCGCCUCGUGAACUCAUCUUCGGGGGUAGAGCACUGUUUCGGCUAGGGGGUCAUCCCGACUUACCAACCCGAUGCAAACUACGAAUACCGAAGAAUGUUAUCACGGGAGACACACGGCGGGUGCUAACGUCCGUCGUGAAGAGGGAAACAACCCAGACCGCCAGCUAAGGUCCCAAAGUCAUGGUUAAGUGGGAAACGAUGUGGGAAGGCCCAGACAGCCAGGAUGUUGGCUUAGAAGCAGCCAUCAUUUAAAGAAAGCGUAAUAGCUCACUGGUCGAGUCGGCCUGCGCGGAAGAUGUAACGGGGCUAAACCAUGCACCGAAGCUGCGGCAGCGACACUAUGUGUUGUUGGGUAGGGGAGCGUUCUGUAAGCCGUCGAAGGUGACCUGUGAGGGUUGCUGGAGGUAUCAGAAGUGCGAAUGCUGACAUAAGUAACGAUAAUGCGGGUGAAAAACCCGCACGCCGGAAGACCAAGGGUUCCUGUCCAACGUUAAUCGGGGCAGGGUGAGUCGACCCCUAAGGCGAGGCCGAAAGGCGUAGUCGAUGGGAAACAGGUUAAUAUUCCUGUACUCGGUGUUACUGCGAAGGGGGGACGGAGAAGGCUAUGUUGGCCGGGCGACGGUUGUCCCGGUUUAAGCAUGUAGGCGGAUGUUCCAGGUAAAUCCGGAACGUUAUCAACGCUGAGGUGUGAUGACGAGGCACUACGGUGCUGAAGUGACAAAUGCCCUGCUUCCAGGAAAAGCCUCUAAGCAUCAGGUAACAUCAAAUCGUACCCCAAACCGACACAGGUGGUCAGGUAGAGAAUACCAAGGCGCUUGAGAGAACUCGGGUGAAGGAACUAGGCAAAAUGGUGCCGUAACUUCGGGAGAAGGCACGCUGAUAGGUAGGUGAAGUGGUUUACCCAUGGAGCUGAAAUCAGUCGAAGAUACCAGCUGGCUGCAACUGUUUAUUAAAAACACAGCACUGUGCAAACACGAAAGUGGACGUAUACGGUGUGACGCCUGCCCGGUGCCGGAAGGUUAAUUGAUGGGGUUAUCCGUAAGGAGAAGCUCUUGAUCGAAGCCCCGGUAAACGGCGGCCGUAACUAUAACGGUCCUAAGGUAGCGAAAUUCCUUGUCGGGUAAGUUCCGACCUGCACGAAUGGCGUAAUGAUGGCCAGGCUGUCUCCACCCGAGACUCAGUGAAAUUGAACUCGCUGUGAAGAUGCAGUGUACCCGCGGCAAGACGGAAAGACCCCGUGAACCUUUACUAUAGCUUGACACUGAACACUGGUCCUUGAUGUGUAGGAUAGGUGGGAGGCUUUGAAGUGUGGACGCCAGUCUGCGUGGAGCCAUCCUUGAAAUACCACCCUUUAAUGGCUGGUGUUCUAACGUGGGCCCCUAAUCGGGGUUGCGGACAGUGUCUGGUGGGUAGUUUGACUGGGGCGGUCUCCUCCUAAAGAGUAACGGAGGAGCACGAAGGUCAGCUAAUCCUGGUCGGACAUCAGGAGGUUAGUGCAAUGGCAUAAGCUGGCUUGACUGCGAGCGUGACGGCGCGAGCAGGUGCGAAAGCAGGUCAUAGUGAUCCGGUGGUUCUGAAUGGAAGGGCCAUCGCUCAACGGAUAAAAGGUACUCCGGGGAUAACAGGCUGAUACCGCCCAAGAGUUCAUAUCGACGGCGGUGUUUGGCACCUCGAUGUCGGCUCAUCACAUCCUGGGGCUGAAGUAGGUCCCAAGGGUAUGGCUGUUCGCCAUUUAAAGUGGUACGCGAGCUGGGUUUAGAACGUCGUGAGACAGUUCGGUCCCUAUCUGCCGUGGGCGCUGGAGAAUUGAGGGGGGCUGCUCCUAGUACGAGAGGACCGGAGUGGACGCAUCACUGGUGUUCGGGUUGUCAUGCCAAUGGCAUUGCCCGGUAGCUAAAUGCGGAAGAGAUAAGUGCUGAAAGCAUCUAAGCACGAAACUUGCCCCGAGAUGAGUUCUCCCUGACUCCUUGAGAGUCCUGAAGGAACGUUGAAGACGACGACGUUGAUAGGCCGGGUGUGUAAGCGCAGCGAUGCGUUGAGCUAACCGGUACUAAUGAACCGUGAGGCUUAACCUU
rnacentral:rRNA from 2 species